GCCCAGCUAGCUCAGUCGGUAGAGCACGAGACUCUUAAUCUUGGAGUCAUGGAUUCAAGCCCCAUGCUGGGUG